CUCAAAUUUCUGUUUCAGUCUCUAUGUUUGUCAUCUUCAUCUUCACUUUCUGUUUCACCAUGUUCAUCUUCAUAUAAAAGUUUGCAGAGUCAAAGACUGAUAUAUAUGAAUUCAUCAAAUUCAGAUGGUACUGGAAGGACGUCUGGUGGAGGGCCAUUUGUGAAAAUGAAUUUCAUGCCUAUCCUGAUUAAGGGGUUCCCCAAGCUAUGACUCCUCGCUCAGAAAGGUUGCAAAUUAAUUUGUUUUUGAAUUUUUCUGCCCUUAUUUAACGAUGACCAGUUAUAUGAAAAUGAAUAGCCAUGCCUAACCUGAUUAUAAGACAUUUCCUCCCCACUAAUUCUCACUUUUAUUAUAAGCUUAUUUUUUGAAGCAUGCUCUCAAUGACACCAUUACAUUGUUUAACAGUCAGUUCCUUGAGCCAACGAUACCAUUAUUAUUGUUUAAUUAUCAGGUUCUUGAGUCAAUUUAUUGUUUGAA